rnacentral:rRNA from 1 species
UACGGGGGGGGCAAGCGUUGUUCGGAAUUACUGGGCGUAAAGCGCACGUAGGCGGCUUUGUAAGUUAGAGGUGAAAGCCCGGGGCUCAACCCCGGAAUUGCCUUUAAGACUGCAUCGCUUGAACGUCGGAGAGGUGAGUGGAAUUCCGAGUGUAGAGGUGAAAUUCGUAGAUAUUCGGAAGAACACCAGUGGCGAAGGCGGCUCACUGGACGACUGCUGACGCUGAGGUGCGAAAGCGUGGGGAGCAAACAGG